AUGGCGAAGAGAGUUGUGGAGAAGGAGUUAACUGAAAGGAACUGAGAUGAAGAAGACGAAGUUGAAGAGAUGGGAACAUUCUCAGUGGCCAGUGAGGAAGUCAUGAAGAGCAGAGCCGUAAAGAAGGGAAAGUGUAGAAACGUUGGAUUUGAAUCUGAUAGCGGAGGAGCCUUUAAAGGUUUCAAAGGUUUGGUUGUGCCUUCCGUAGGAGGAGGGUUUUAUGGAUUUGGUGGCUCUGGAGGAAAGCCUCUGGAAAGACUGACAAAUGGAAAGAGCACAGACAAUGCCACGCCCUUCUCCAGUGUAAAGACAGCAGCAGAGCCCAAGGCAGCCUUUGGUUCUUUUGCUGUGAAUGGCCCUACUACCUUUGUGAUUAAAAAGAUUUCGAGUCCCAAAUGCAAUAGCAGCAAUCAGCCACGCUCCUCUGGCCCUGCGUCUAGUACUGCCUGCACUGGGAAUGCCUAUCACAAGCAGCUGGCUGGCUUGAACUGCUCCAUCACGGAUUGGAUAGUGAAGCGGUGAACACAAACCCGCUUUGUGACCUGACACCCAUUUUUAAAGACUAUGAGAAAUACUUGGCGACGGUCCAUCGAGAAACAGCUUGAGAAUGGAGGUGGCAGCAGUUCUGAGAGACAGACAGACAGGGCGACGGUUGGAAUGGAGCCUCCUUCCAUUUUUGGUUCAACAAAACUACAGCAAGAUUCACCAUUUUCAUUUCAUGGCAACAAAGCGGAGGACACAUCUGAAAAGGUGGAGUUUACAGCAGAAAAGAAAUCGGACGCAGCACAAGGAGCAACAAGUGCCUCGUUUAGUUUCAGCAGUUUUGGGACGCGUUAAGCUCUGGCUCCCUAACUGGGUUUUCAUUCUCUGCUGGAAACUCUAGUUUAUUUGGUAAAGCUGCUGCCCAGAGUAAAGCAGCCUCUUCACCGUUCUCUGCUAAAGCAUCCGAGAGUCAGGCAGGAGGCAGCAGCAGUGAGUGCAGAGAUGGUGAAGAAGAAGAGAAUGACGACCCACCGAAGGUAGUGGUAACGGAAGUAAAGGAAGAGGAUGCUUUCUACUCCAAAAAUGUAAAUUAUUUUACAAGAAAGACAAUAAAUUUAAAGAGAAGGGUGUUGGGACCCUGCAUUUUAAACCCACAGCAACUCAGAAGACCCAGCUCUUGGUGCGGGCAGACACCAACCUAGGCAACGUACUGCUGAAUGUUCUGAUUCCACCCAAUAUGCCGUGUACCUGAACAGGAAAACACAAUGUCCUUAUCAUCUGUGUCCCCACCCCCACACUUGAUGAGAGGCAGCCCACUCUCCCGGUCACCAUGCUGAUUCGGGUGAAGACGAGCAAGGAUGCCGAUAAAUUGCACAAGAAUUUACUGCAGAAAAAGGAUGCCUGAGCACUGAGGCUGACCAAGGCAUGUUGCCACGUUGCUGCUUCCCCUCUGUCCCUAACUUAGUCACAUUCUUUCCUCUUCUACUGUGACAUUCUGAGAACU